rnacentral:rRNA from 1 species
CCUGAUGGAGCAACGCCGCGUGAGUGAAGAAGGUUUUCGGAUCGUAAAGCUCUGUUGUUGGUGAAGAAGGAUAGAGGUAGUAACUGGCCCUAUUUGACGGUAAUCAACCAGAAAGUCACGGCUAACUACGUGCC